ACAACUUUCAGCAACGGAUCUCUUGGCUCUCGCAUCGAUGAAGAACGCAGCGAAAUGCGAUAAGUAAUGUGAAUUGCAGAAUUCAGUGAAUCAUCGAAUCHUHGAACGCACCUUGCGCUCCUUGGUAUUCCGAGGAGCAHGCCUGHUUGAGHGHCAUGAA
rnacentral:rRNA from 1 species